UACGUAGGGUGCAAGCGUUGUCCGGAAUUAUUGGGCGUAAAGAGCUCGUAGGCGGCUUGUCGCGUCGGAUGUGAAAGCCCGGGGCUUAACUCCGGGUCUGCAUUCGAUACGGGCAGGCUGGAGUGCGGUAGGGGAGACUGGAAUUCCUGGUGUAGCGGUGAAAAUGCGCAGAUAUCAGGAGGAACACCGAUGGCGAAGGCAGGUCUCUGGGCCACUACUGACGCUGAGAAGCGAAAGCAUGGGGAGCGAACAGG
rnacentral:rRNA from 1 species